rnacentral:rRNA from 1 species
GACGAACGCUGGCGGCGUGCCUAAUACAUGCAAGUCGAGCGAAUGGAAGGGAGCUUGCUCCCUGAAGUUAGCGGCGGACGGGUGAGUAACACGUGGGCAACCUGCCUGUAAGACUGGGAUAACUUCGGGAAACCGGAGCUAAUACCGGAUACGUUCUUUCCUCGCAUGAGGGAAGAUGGAAAGAUGGUUUCGGCUAUCACUUACAGAUGGGCCCGCGGCGCAUUAGCUAGUUGGUGGGGUAAUGGCCCACCAAGGCGACGAUGCGUAGCCGACCUGAGAGGGUGAUCGGCCACACUGGGACUGAGACACGGCCCAGACUCCUACGGGAGGCAGCAGUAGGGAAUCUUCCGCAAUGGACGAAAGUCUGACGGAGCAACGCCGCGUGAGCGAAGAAGGCCUUCGGGUCGUAAAGCUCUGUUGUCAGGGAAGAACAAGUGCCAGAGUAACUGCUGGCACCUUGACGGUACCUGACCAGAAAGCCACGGCUAACUACGUGCCAGCAGCCGCCGUAAUAC